AAACUAUCGUGUCUGAUUGGUA
rnacentral:siRNA from 1 species